GGACUACAGGGGUAUCUAAUCCUGUUUGAUCCCCACGCUUUCGAGCCUCAGUGUCAAUGUAUCCGUAGUAAGCUGCCUUCGCAAUGGGUGUUCUAUGUCAUAUCUAAGCAUUUCACCGCUACAUGACAUAUUCCGCUUACCUCCAGAUAAUUCAAGAUUGAUAGUAUCAAUGGCAGUUUCCGAGUUAAGCUCGAAGAUUUCACCACUGACUUACCAACCCACCUACGCUCCCUUUAAACCCAGUAAAUCCGGAUAACGCUUGCACCCUCCGUAUUACCGCGGCGGCUGGCAC
rnacentral:rRNA from 2 species